ensembl:lncRNA
CAGUCAUACAAGAUGCCACAUUUUAUCCAAUGACAUCAUUUUCUGGAUGAAACUUCAAUUGCCUGGGGUCUGCAGAGUUGCAUACCCCACACAAUGUGACUGCAGUGUGCCAAUGAAAAUACAUGUUUGUUCUGCUUCUCCUCAGAGCUAUCCAGACCAUUACCAAUGCUUUUGGAAGAAGUUUUCCAGGAGACGUUUUUCCAGGAGGUCUUACUUCUAAAAGGAAGCACACAGUGUGUUGUGUACUCACUUUAAUAUGUAAAGCAGUCUCACAUGGCCGAAUAAGCAUAUGGAACUCUUGCCAAGAGUGCAGAAAACAGUGACUCACCUUUAAUUUUUUCAUAAUAACAGUUGAUCAAGACACUUUAUUAUGCAAAUAAGUAACCCACUAACCCUGAAAUUUCUGUCUGACUUGUCAGAUUUCUCCUAAUAGAGAUGGUAUGUGGAGAAGACAGACUGGGUCAGGGUGUGGCUUCAUAUUGGGACAUGUUUGUGUGUUGCCUGCUGUGAAGAUACGGUGGCUCAAAGGGGAAAUGGCUUCACUCGGCAGUCAGGGGCCUCCGAACAAGAUGUUAUCUUACAGUGUGAGAAUGAGAGAAGGCAGGAAGAGAUGUGAUGCUGUGGACUUUCCUCAUCAUAGGCCACCAACCUACAAUACUCACCACAAGACUUCAUUGGGACCCAGCCGGACACCAGAAGCUCAAGAAGUGGUUCUCAUGGCCUCUGUCAACAUGCGUAUUGUGUGUGCAUGCGUGUUUGUGUUCCUUCAAGCACUGUCUUUGUGCUUUGUUAGUGGUCUGUUACUCUGGUGAGUUUAUAUGAUGGUACUUUAAGACCCUCCUUGGCAGCAUAAUAAAUCCUGAGUUUUCGCUUGGAUGUUUCUCUGA